rnacentral:lncRNA from 1 species
AAAGUUUUGAACCUGUCAGACAACCGUGUAACCAUCUCAGCCAGUGGUGAACACAGCCUGAGAACGAUCCUCCACUGCCACAGAUGAUUCUCUCUCAAAGGAGAGAUCAUCAUAGCCAUUAAUCACGCUCUGAUUACACGGUCAUGAUUCAUCAACCAGGUUUAGGUUCUUGUCUCCUUAGAACUCAAGGACACAAUGGUACGAGCCUAUAGAACAGAUCCUGUUCAAGUAAGGUCGUGACCAUUGUCUUCUCAUUUCAGUUAUAUAAAUACUUCCCAUUUUCUAGGUUUCCUCGAUGUGGGACUAAAUUAAUGUUUCUGUAUUUUAUAACUUUGAUGUGUCUACUGUCUAGUGUACAUGUACAUGGAACGUGAUCAUAUUAGUGCUGCCAAAAUGUAAUCAUGUUCCUUAUUUCAUGAUAUCUCUCAAAUGUAUGUUAAUGAAAUGAUACAAAGAGGAAUUAAGAACAUACCCAUAAAUAAAAUAUGAAACACAGAGUUUCUGUACUCUUAACGGAAUGAAUAUAAAUGGGGUGUUUGAAAACAUAAUUGUAAACAGCUAAACAUAAUUGUUGUUGUUAUAGUCAUAAUUGUAAACAUCCAUUACUAUGUUGUCACUGCCAGAAACUGACCAUAAUCUGUAUUAUCUAUAGGAAUGUGCUGUUUUUUCUUCAGUUUUAACAAGAUAUGAACAGAAGAAUGGGAAACGGGAAGUGCAGGAACCGGUUCAUUCGGUUGCGGAGAGCAACUCUUGAAUGGCAAAGUCGUUGAAGGAGUUGAAGAAGAACAAGUUAUGGAUUGCACUUUCAAAGGAAGAAAUUGAGGAGGACAUUUUCGCCAUGACAGGGAGUAGACCUAAUCGAAGGUCAAAGAAGAAGCCGAAAAAUGUUAAGAAACAAAUGGAU